rnacentral:rRNA from 1 species
AUUGAACGCUGGCGGCAUGCUUUACACAUGCAAGUCGAACGGUAACAGGCCGCAAGGUGCUGACGAGUGGCGAACGGGUGAGUAAUGCAUCGGAACGUGCCCAGUCGUGGGGGAUAACGCAGCGAAAGCUGCGCUAAUACCGCAUACGAUCUAUGGAUGAAAGCGGGGGACCGUAAGGCCUCGCGCGAUUGGAGCGGCCGAUGUCAGAUUAGGUAGUUGGUGGGGUAAAGGCUCACCAAGCCGACGAGCUGUAGCUGGUCUGAGAGGACGACCAGCCACACUGGGACUGGGACACGGCCCAGACUCCGACGGGAGGCAGCAGUGGGGAAUUUUGGACAAUGGGCGCAAGCCUGAUCCAGCAAUGCCGCGUGCAGGAAGAAGGCCUUCGGGUUGUAAACUGCUUUUGUACGGAACGAAACGGCUCUGGUUAAUACCCGGGGCUAAUGACGGUACCGUAAGAAUAAGCACCGGCUAACUACGUGCCAGCAGCCGCCGUAAUAC